AGUGAACGCUGGCGGUAGGCCUAACACAUGCAAGUCGAACGGCAGCACAGUAAGAGCUUGCUCUUACGGGUGGCGAGUGGCGGACGGGUGAGGAAUACAUCGGAAUCUACUUUUUCGUGGGGGAUAACGUAGGGAAACUUACGCUAAUACCGCAUACGACCUACGGGUGAAAGCAGGGGAUCUUCGGACCUUGCGCGAUUGAAUGAGCCGAUGUCGGAUUAGCUAGUUGGCGGGGUAAAGGCCCACCAAGGCGACGAUCCGUAGCUGGUCUGAGAGGAUGAAGAGCGACACUGGAAGUGAGAGACGGGCCAGGCGCCGAGGGGAGGCAGCAGUGGGGAAUGUUGGAAAAUGGGGGCAAGCCUGAUCGAGCGAUGCCGCGUGGGUGAAGAAGGGCUGCGGGUUGUAAAGCGCUGUUGUUGGGGAAGAAAAGGAGCGGGGGAAUAGGGGGGUGUUGUGACGGUACCCAAAGAAUAAGCACCGGCUAACUUCGUG
rnacentral:rRNA from 1 species